GAUGAACGCUGGCGGCGUGCCUAAUACAUGCAAGUCGAGCGAACAGAUGAGGAGCUUGCUCCUCUGACGUUAGCGGCGGACGGGUGAGUAACACGUGGAUAACCUACCUAUAAGACUGGGAUAACUUCGGGAAACCGGAGCUAAUACCGGAUAAUAUAUUGAACCGCAUGGUUCAAUAGUGAAAGACGGUUUUGCUGUCACUUAUAGAUGGAUCCGCGCCGCAUUAGCUAGUUGGUAAGGUAACGGCUUACCAAGGCAACGAUGCGUAGCCGACCUGAGAGGGUGAUCGGCCACACUGGAACUGAGACACGGUCCAGACUCCUACGGGAGGUAGCAGUAGGGAAUCUGCCGCUACGGGCUAGAGCUUGACGGAGCAACGCCGCGUGAGUGAUGAAGGUCUUCGGAUCGUAAAACGCUGUUAUUAGGGAAGAACAAAUGUGUAAGUAACUAUUGACGGCUUGACGGUACCUAAUCAGAAAGCCACGCCUAACUAUGUG
rnacentral:rRNA from 1 species